GCCGACGUAGCUCAGUGGCAGAGCAGCUCACUCGUAACGAGCAGGUCACUGGUUCAAUCCCAGUCGUCGGCUCCA
rnacentral:tRNA from 1 species